AGAGUUUGAUCAUGGCUCAGGACGAACGCUGGCGGCGUGGAUUAGGCAUGCAAGUCGAGCGAUAUCCAACCUUCGGGUUGGUGAAAGCGGCGAACGGGUGAGUAACACGUGAAUAACCUGUCCCCACGUUCCGGACAAUUCACCGAAAGGUGUUGUAAUACGGGCGAGGGCCAUUGUGAGGCAUCUCACGAUGAAGGAACGCGCAAGCGGCGCGGGGAGGGGUUCGCGGAUUAUCAGGUAGAUGGUGAGGUAACGGCUCACCAUGCCUACGACGAUUAGCUGGUCUGAGAGGAUGGUCAGCCACAUUGGGACUGAGACACUGCCCAGACUCCUACGGGAGGCUGCAGUCGAGAAUCUUGCACAAUGCGCGAAAGCGUGAUGCAGCGACGCCGCGUGGAGGAAGAAGGUGCUCAGCAUCGUAAACUCCUUUUAACCCAGAAGAACACAAUGACGGUAUGGGUUGAAUAAGCCACGGCUAACUACGUGCCAGCAGCCGCGGUAAUACGUAGGUGGCAAGCGUUGUCCGGAUUUACUGGGCGUAAAGGGUGGGCAGGCGGACUUUUAAGUAGGAAGUGAAAGGUUGGAGCUCAACUCUAACACUGCUCCCUAUACUGGAAGUCUUGAGUUCUGGAGAGGAAGAUGGAACAACACGUGUAGCGGUGAAAUGCGUUGAGAUGUGUUGGAACACCAAUGGCGAAAGCAGUCUUCUGGACAGAUACUGACGCUCAUCCACGAAAGCCAAGGUAGCGAACAGGAUUAGAUACCCCGGUAGUCC
rnacentral:rRNA from 1 species